UGGGGAACCGGUAUGUGUCGUG
rnacentral:misc_RNA from 1 species